AGGAAGAAAAAAAACCAACAAAAACUUAUAUGCAGUUUAUAGCCCAAAUUUGUAAACUUGUCCAUUUUAAGGUAGGUGAAAGGAUCUUGCCAAAGUUAGGGGCAAUUUGCAAUUCAUUGUUUUUAAAUUUGACACACAUUAAUAUUUUUGUGAAUGAUUAAGGCUAUUUAUUUUUGUAUAUCGCUUUACCUACCUGGACUGCAUUGCCACCUAGAAGGUGGCAGGAGGUAGUUGUCUGGAAUGUGGAGAACACUCCGCUGCCAUUUUUCUUUCACUUUGGCAUGAUCACAUGGUUUACCCUUUCUGUCUUUUCUUAGCCCUUGACUUCUAGGAUAUUGGAGGAAAGAGACAGAAGUACAGUAUAUCACUUUACCUGUCUGCACUAUAUGUGUGAUGUUGGAAAAGUCACUUAAUUUCUUCAUUCAUCAGUUUCUAUGUCUUCAACCAAAGAGGUGGAGCCUGAUGGUAAUUGGUUUCUCAUUGCUCUGACACUCUGAGUGUGCAUAUGUGGGGGUGGACGUCCUCCAUACAGAAAGCAAAAUGAUGGUUUUGAUGCUGAGAAAUGGACUAGCUAUGAACUCAAAGAUUUUACAUUGAUUCUUACUACAGAGGUGGGUUAUUGUUAUUGUACCAGUUCUCUAAUUUCAACGUACAGAGGCAGCUACACUGGCCUUCGUGGUUUUUUUCUGUGUCCUUAUUUAUGAACUUGGUGCAUAAAACCCUUCUUCAUUUCCUUAGAUGACUGAGGCAGUUAAUCCUUUAUUGAUCACUCACGAUUAUAACACAGGUGUUAUGCAAACACAGUGAGGUCUUUAUGCCCGAGGAGGCCUUCGCUGUGACAGAGCUUCUGACAACACACACUCAGGCUGUGUCUCCUUUGUACUGUCCCUGGGGCUGCUGACUUCCCUUCUCACUGCCUCUAAGUAAAACUUCUCACUCCUGUCAGGUGGCAGGUAAAGACAGAAACUGACUCUAGGGCCUACCUUAGGCCGUGUGAUCCCAGCACACUCAGAGGUCCUGGAGGGUGAAUCCCUAAAGCUGAGCUAGGGAUGGUAAAGGCACUCCAGCCUUCUCCAUAGUGGCUCCACAGUCCUCAGGUUUCUCUAUGAUUGGCUUUUUGGAGAAGCCAGAAAAGAAAAACCAAGAACCCCACUGAGGUGAACACAUGAUUGAUUUCAGCUCCACAACUGAGUGAGACAGUUUUUGGGAGGCACAUCAACCUGCAGGUAUAGAUGAGGCUGCAGGUUCUUUUCCGGGGCUGCUAGAGUGGAGUCAUCUGGGGACCAGUGAGAGAAAUGCAUCACUCACUUUGUAUUCUUAUCCCUGUGGUUGGGGAAGAAACACUCACCAGUCCACAGAAUGUGGUCACGUGACUAGGGAGAGACUCAAGGCAAAGGGCUCAAAAUGCCAUGCCCCAUUUUCCGUUUGUCAAUAAUCAGUGCUGUCAUCUUCCUGUUCAUGUUGUAAGUUUUGAUCUUUUCAGGACUGCUUCCUUGCCAAACCCUCGCGUCCACUCCCCAACACACUUUGUGCUAAUUAAUGGCAUUUCAUCGCUUGAUUUUGAAAAAUGAAAGUGUGAACUACUUGUGAAAGAGCUCUUAGCAAGAUAAGAAAGAAAAAAUGACUCCUUAUCUCCCUAACCUACAGAAAAGCUGGUAUGAUUAUGUCUUAAGAAUGUGCAUGAAAAUGUUAUUUCUAACAGAGGGAGUCCAGCAAACAUCCACACUCCAAAUACUGGGCUCCCUGCCUACACGCAGGCCUUUGCUGAAAUGUCACCUUCUUAUUGUAUCCCUUCUUGACAACCUGAUUUAAAAUUGUAAUUUCUGCAAGCCUGCUGACAACACUCUCUCUCUCCCCGCCUGUUUUACUCCUCUCCAUGGCAAUUAUCUCCAUCUGACAUAUAUUUUACUUAUUUUAUUUUGUGUUUAUUUCCACUGAAAUAUAAGCUCCUGAGAUUCUGAGAGCUGUGCUUCCAUUGUGUCUAGAAAAGCGUCUGGCACAUAUGAGCCUCAGACUCAGGGCUGGGACCCUUGGGACUCAAAAGAGAGAAAAGGUGGAGAAAAGAGAAAGCUACUAUUUUCUUCAUUUUGCCCCUGCUAACAUCCAAUGCACUUAGGAGCCUCGAUGUCUGCUCUCCAAGAGUGGAGAGAGGAUGCCAGACAGAUAUUUGAGCAGAACAAAGAGAGCCAACAGGAUGAAGGCAUUCCCUGGCUGGUUGGACAAGCAACUGAAGAACAGGAACAGAAGUGAAUGAAAAGAGAAGAUGCUGUGUUUGUGUUUUCUCUUGGUUAGAAUGCUGUGAGUCAGGACCUUAGCUGCUGGGUGUCCUGGGACUGCCUUCGAUGAAGAACCUGAGGCUCACCUUGCUUAAGUGACUUGAGCAGCUUCACGCAUCUUUCUGACAUUCCAGCAAUACCGGAGCAUUGACAGUUGAUAAUAGCUCUAUGUGCUACCUCUCCAAGAAACAAAUUUGCAUUUUAACCUGCCCCUUCAAUGGCUGAACUUCAAAGGGUCACUGAUGAAUGCCACAGCAGAGAAAACUGCAAAUUGGAACAGCAGAGCUGUGCCUCUGGCCAUUUCCUGGAACUACAGAGGAGCAACUUGCCCCGGUUUCCAGUGGGUGAUGUUCCUCUUCUGCCACAGUCCCUGGCGAUGUUGAUGUGAUUGCCAUCAGAGCUCAGAAGCACAGAGCAGAAUCAUCCCCUGGAGGAGGAUUCCCUUCAGUGUAAGAAGUUCUUACAGAAUUAAUCCUCAAAGACUGUGGGUGGACUCUGCCAGGUUUUUCCCCGGGUGUACCAGAAGAGAGGAAGAGCCCUCAAAUACAGGAAAGUGCUCUUUUCAGUGACAGUAGUUCUUUUGGGCCCUGUGGCUAAGUGUGCUCCCACCCCAGCAGUAAGAUCACAGCUAAUCCUGAGAGGCAAGAGCUCACACCAGGCUACUGAAAGAAAAAGUGUCCUUUGUGGAUUGCAAGAGGAACUGGGACACACUGCUGGAAAUGAAGUGGCAGGUCAUAAACUAUCAUAAACUCAGGAGGAGAGGUGUUCCUUUUUGAGACACUCAUCACAACUAGAGAGAAUGCAGCUAAGAAAAUGCAGUCUUUAGGGGGACCUGGACUGUUGAAGUAUUUGAGCUAUUCGGAGGAAAUAGAAACUUGGAAGAGAUCUUUGUUCCACUAUUAUUUGGCAGCCCCUUACCCGCAGCUGCCAUUACUCCAGAUUCUCUCUGAUGAUCCUGCAUCAGGAGAAUGAGUUGACUGGGCACCACUGGGAAAUGUGGGCAGCUCCAGGCUGAACUAGAGAAGGGGCAUGUCAAAGGUCACUUAUUUGUGGCUUGACCCUUUGGAGGCCAGAUGUAAGAAUCAAUUUCUCACAGGUCCCAUGCUAACGCUUUUCAUAUUUAUUUCCAUCUGAGACUCACUUAGGCUAGGCAAAUAUCCCAUGGGUCUGUACCUCUCCAGUGCUUUCUUGCUCAUGUAAAAUUAGCUCAUUGGAAUGAAUAAAGAGAAUGGUAUUACUUUGGCUCGAACACGAAUGAGCACUUUCACUUUGUCAUAGUGUAAAUAUUAAAGUUGUAAGAGACAGCCCAGGGACCAACUAUUUUUUUUUUAAAGAUCCAAGUGCUUGCAUAGUUUCUAAAAUUCUACACCGGGGAACUAUAUCCUCAUUCAGCACUGAGACUCCUUGGUUCCCUAAAACCAAAGUCUCCAGGUGCCUUCAGGGGCCAACCAAGAUGGAGCUCCUUAUAGACCCAUGCAAUGUCAGAACUGGAAAACUUAGAAAUCUUUCAGUCCACCCAUCAUUUUAUGGGUGGCAAACUGAGAUCCAGAGAAUGCUCAAAUCUCAUAAUUAGCUAUGAAAGGUUAUGAUUAAAAUGCAAAUUUGGGGCCUCCAAUUUGGUCCUCUUUUCACUCUCCUUCUUGCUGGGGAAAGAACAGUGAUUCCUUGAUUGGCAGAGCAGAAAAUAUCUUCAGUUUUUAGGAUGACUUUAUUCCCCUAAAGAGUAUCUUUGUCACAUCUCCUCCUUGUCCAUUUUUAGAGACUCUACAGUGUUUAGCUACUGGUAGAUUUGUUCUAGUGGAUCUGGUACAAAUCUUAUAGAAAUAUCUACAAUUAUUCCAUGUUAUUCUGAAAUUAUUCAUACAGCAUUUCUUCUGUUUUAUUAGCCAUUUUUAAGGGAGAAGGAACCUAAGAUUAAUUGCUAUGGCUACAUGUCAUGCUCACCAAUGAACUCACCUCAUUUUAAUCCUCAUGAUCUAUUAUAGUAGGAAUGCUUGUUGUACAUAAGUAUUCAGGAUUACUGAAUCCACUUGAAUUUUUUGAGGACAGUGGCCAAAUACAAUUCUGUGGUCAAUUUAGGCUGCUCCUACUGUUCCCUGAUGUUAGGCAUUUUC
rnacentral:lncRNA from 1 species